rnacentral:rRNA from 1 species
UACGGAGGGUGCAAGCGUUGCUCGGAAUUAUUGGGCGUAAAGGGCAGGUAGGUGGUCUCAUUUGUCUGGGGUGAAAGCCUUGAGCUUAACUCAAGAAGUGCCCCAGAAACGGUGAGACUAGAGUUCUGGAGAGGGUCGUGGAAUUCCCGGUGUAGCGGUGAAAUGCGUAGAGAUCUGGAAGAACACCAAAGGCGAAGGCAGCGUCCUGGCGAGUCACUGACGCUCAGGUGCGAAAGCUAGGGGAGCGAACGGG